CCUAGAGUCCCCGCAAAACAAGGUUCAUAAAAGACAUGAAGAGGGCAAUAAACGGAGAAAGGAAAAUCUACAUUUCCUUCUUGGUGUGCCGUGGUGCAGGGAAGCUAUCCUUGUGUGGUGUACGACCCAUUUCUGUCGUAGGUACUCUUUGCAAGCUUCCUGUGACUCAGGAAGAAUCUGGCAACGGACCCCCCCAGCGAGGAGAGCAGGGCUUUAAAGGAGACAAGGACCUCCUGGUACGACUGCCAUGGGGAGUGAAGGAUGUUGGUGGGGUUGGUGGUGGGGGUUGGGUUGGAGGGGUACUCCGCUGUAACCACUGACAGAUUACCCCAACUUGAGGCGGGCAGUGUGUGUGUGGGGGGAACGACUGGAUUCAAUCCCUGUGCCAUGGGGAACACUGAACCCCUGGAACAUAUCGUUAACUGGCCCCUUUUACUGUUCUGCUGGAGCUGCGUAACAUUGGACAUGGAGUUUUACAAGAGGCCCCACAGGGGGACGCUUUCUGUCGGGCACAGAGAAGAACCAGCUUUGUUCACCUCUCUGAGCGAGUUGGGACUCCCCCUCCCCAAAACUUUAAAGGCAUUCCGCUGGGUUUACAGCGAUGGACUACCUAUCCUGGUGGAAUGUUAUAGUUUAGAUGCUGUAGCAAACCCAUCCCACGAGCACACAUGGGGAAAGGUCCACCUCGAUCCAUCUUCUUUCAGUCGUUUGUCACCUGGGGCUCAGGUAGUGACAAUGUGGUGAUGAUUCUAACAGUGUGUACCACAUAUGGACCGUUUUGGUCAUGAUGUGUGUGUGUGUGUGUGUGUGUGUGUGUGUGUGUGUGUGUGUGUGUGUGUGUGUGUGUGUGUGUGUGUGUGUG